rnacentral:rRNA from 1 species
UACGUAGGGUGCAAGCGUUAAUCGGAAUUACUGGGCGUAAAGCGUGCGCAGGCGGUGAUGUAAGACAGAUGUGAAAUCCCCGGGCUUAACCUGGGAACUGCAUUUGUGACUGCAUGGCUGGAGUGCGGCAGAGGGGGAUGGAAUUCCGCGUGUAGCAGUGAAAUGCGUAGAUAUGCGGAGGAACAACGAUGGCGAAGGCAAUCCCCUGGGCCUGCACUGACGCUCAUGCACGAAAGCGUGGGGAGCAAACAGG